AACAACACUGUAAAGAUGGAUGCUUUUCCAGGCUUAGUGAUGGUGAUGUUCCUGAUACUUGGAAGGACUCAUGGAAACUCAGUGACCCAGACAGAAGGUCAAGUGAUCCUAUUGGAGGGGGCUUUGCUGACUAUAAACUGCACUUAUUCAACCACAGGGUACCCUACUCUGUUCUGGUAUGUGCAAUAUCCUGGAGAAGGUCCACAGCUUCUGUUUAGAGUCUCCAGGUCCAAUGAAAAGGGCAGCAACAAAGGUUUUGAAGCCACAUACAAGAAAAAAACCACUUCCUUCCACUUGGAGAAAGCCUCUGUCCAAGAGUCAGACUCGACUGUGUACUACUGUGCUCUGGGUGCGGGCGGCGGCUCUGCUCUC